CGGGUGAGUAAUGUCUGGGAAACUGCCUGAUGGAGGGGGAUAACUACUGGAAACGGUAGCUAAUACCGCAUAACGUCGCAAGACCAAAGUGGGGGACCUUCGGGCCUCUUGCCAUCGGAUGUGCCCAGAUGGGAUUAGCUAGUAGGUGAGGUAACGGCUCACCUAGGCGACGAUCCCUAGCUGGUCUGAGAGGAUGACCAGCCACACUGGAACUGAGACACGGUCCAG
rnacentral:rRNA from 1 species